GCCUGUGUUACCACCUCCUGAACAGCCUCAUAUGGUAGUGAUGCUUCCACGAUGACAAAAUCACCACCACUUACUAUGCCCACAUGGAAAGUCACAGUUAGCUGAUCUGGUUUUCCUACUCUUGCCUACCUGACUCUGGUUCCCAUGGAGGUUUCAGCUGGGGGAAGAUGGCAGAAGAGUAGAGGACAUGUGUUUCAUCUGGUCCCUUGAAUUCAACUAGUCAUCUAUCAAAUCAUUCUGAACACCUGUGAAUUCAACCUGAGAUCUAAGAAAAGAAUUGCUGGAAUUGUACAAGUAGAAAAACAACUACUUUUUUGUAAGCAUGGAAAACCUCCAGGGAACAAAAGCUAUGUAAAGCAACAUGAAGCAGCUUAUACCUUGCCCCCUAGUACAGGAUGGUGCAACUCCCCCCACACAAAUACACCUGAGAAUCAGUGCACCAGGCUCUUUCCCUAGAAGACCA